AAGUCGUAACAAGGUUUCCGUAGGUGAACCUGCGGAAGGAUCAUUAACACAAAACCAAGAAGAGACCAUAGAAAUAUGUGUCUCAUCUUACUAUCCAUAUGGUCUUGUUUCGUACCUCUGAAAGGAGGAUUAUCCACUUUGCAGCAAGGAUCCUGGACAUCCGGAUGUAAAUAUCUUGAGGCAUUGUGGCCCCAUUUCGACUCUGAUUGUUAUACCUGCACUGAACCCAUAUGCACACGAAAGUGUGUGUAUGUUUAUUGACCUCGUGUCAAUAAAACCAAAUACAACUCGUAACAACGGAUCUCUCGGCUAAU
rnacentral:misc_RNA from 1 species